rnacentral:lncRNA from 10 species
UCAUGACCAGGAAUCUACAAAAAUUUAAAAGGGUAAUAUGAAUGUAAAUUAGAGUGGGAAUUUAAUUUGUCCCAGGAGAUUCCUGAUUUAUGCCUCCUUGUCCUGGCUGAAUUAUUAAUAACACAAAUUACAGUAUUAAAAUGUCCCAGAUUGGUUAGAUCUCUAUAAAUAUCUUGUCAGAGUAGAAAACAAGGAAGUUAUCAAAGACUACUGAGGUAAUUUACAAAGGGAUAAGGGGUCAGUUUGAAGAAGUUUCUACAGGUCAGGAAUGCCACAACUGAGUGCCAAAAAGAGUAAUGAUGCAAUGGAUUGAAAUGCAUCAAUAUUUUAAAUUGAUGUAUGUGAUGGUUAAUGUUAUCAACUUGAUUGAAUAGAAGAAUGCAAAGUAUUGUUCCUGGGUGUGUCUGUGAGGGUGUUGCCAAAGGAGAUUAACUUUUGAGUCAGCGGACUGGGAGAGGCAGACCCACCCUCAGUCUGGGUGGGCACCAUCUAAAAUCAGCUGCCAGCACAGCUAGAAUAAAGCAGGCAGAAGAAGGUGGAAGGAGCAGACUUGCUGAGUCUUCUGGCCUUCGUCUUCCUUUCGUGCUGGAGCUUCCUGCCCUCGAACAUCAGACUCCAAGUUCUUCAGGUUUUGAACUCUUGGACUUACACCAGCGGCUUGCCACAUGGUCUCAGGCCUUCAACUACAGACUGAAGGAUACCCUGUUGGCUUCCCUACUUUUGCGGUUUUGGGACUCAGACUGGCUUCCUUGCUCCUCAGUUUGCAGUUGGCCUAUCGUGGGACUUCACCUUGUGAUCAUGACAUCUCCAAGAACUUCGUUCACUGAAGUCUUAAACCCCUCACAGUGACCCAUGAGGAUUGGAAUCAGCUUCUUUCAAACUCUUACUAUUGUUGAUAUUUUGAUCGCUUCCUAUGAAUCGUGAAUAUUUUAAUGACAUCUAAAAUGUGACUCCUGGCCGGGCACAGUGGUUCACGCCUAUAAUCCCAGCACCUUGGUAGGUCAAGGCGAGAGGAUCAUUUGAGGUUAGAAGUUUGAGACCAACCUGACCAACAUGGUGAAACCCUGUCUCUACUAAAAAUAGUAAAAAUUAGCUGGGCGUGGUGGAGAAUGCCUGUAAUUUGAGCUAUAUGGGAUACUCAGCCAGGAGAAUCGCUUGAACCUGGGAGGUGGAGAUUGCAGUGAGCCGAGAUCGCGCCACUGCACUCCAGCCUGGGUAACAAAGUGAGACUCCACCUCAAAAUAAAUACAUAAAUAAAAUAAAAUAAAAUGGUGUCUCCUUUCCAGUUUUCAAUUUACUUUGCCAAGAUCUAUCAUAGGAAUUGUUGCCUAUGGCAUCUACAGCCUUAUGAAAUGUAUUUCUUAAGUUAUAAGACUUAAAAGUUGAAAUUACCCCUUAAUUCAUAGGCUGCAGGAUGGAUGCUGUGUUAUCAGGCAUAGAAACAAUAGUAAUCUACUUGUACAUCUCCAUUAGGGAUCUUGGGUGACCAGAUGCAUUGCCAAUGAACAAUAAUAUUUUCAAAUGAAUCUUUUUUUCUUAUUAGAUCUCAAAGGUGGGCUUAAAAUAUUCAGUAAACCGUGCUGCAAACAGAUUUGCUGUCAGCCAGCCUUUGUUGUUCCGUUUAUAGAGCACAGGCAGAAUAGACUUAGCAUAAUUCUUAAGGACUGUAGGAUUUUUUGUAUGGAAAGUGAGCAUUGGCUUCAACUUAAAGUCCCCAGCUGCAUUAGCCUCUAACGAGAGUGUUACUCUAUCUUUUGAAGAUUUGAAGUCAGGUAAUCCUCUCUAGCUAUGAAAGUUCUAGGUGACAUCUUCCUCCAAUAUAAGACCUAUUUUAUCUACAUUGAUAAGUGUUUUGUGUAGCCACUUUCAUCAAAUAUCUUAUCUAGAUCUUCUAGUUGACUUGUUAUAGCUUCCAUAUCAGUACUUGCUGCUUCACCUUUCACUGCUAUGUGACAACGAUGACUUCUGUCCUUAAACUUCAUGAACCAACCUCUUUUAGCUUCAGAUUUCUUCCUCAGCUUCUUCACCUUUGUCAGCCUUCAUGGAAUUGAAGAGAGUUAGGGCCUUGCUCUGGAUUAGACUUUGGCUUAGGAAAUAUUGUGGCUGUUUCAUUCUUCUAUCUAGACCAUCAAACUUUAUCCAUAUCCUAGCAACAAGGCUGUUUCACUUUCUUAUCAUUCAUGUAUUCCCUGAAGAGGCACUUUUAAUUUCCUUAAGGAACUUUUCCUUUGCAUUUACAAUUUGGCUCUUUGGCCCAAGAGGCCUAGUUUUUGAUCUGUCUUGGCUUUUGAUAUGCCAUCCUCACUAAGUUUAUAAUCAGUUCUAGAUUCUGAUUUAGAGUGAGAGACUUGAGAUUCUUCCUUUUACUUGAACACUUAGAGGCCAUUGUAGGGUUAUCAUUAACUGACCUUAUUUCAAUAUUAAAUUGAAAUGUCUCAGGGAAUAGGGAGCCGAGAAGAGACGGAGAGAAACAGGGGAACAGCCUGUUGGUGGUGCUGUCAGAACACACACAUUUAUGAUUAAGUUUGGCAUUUUGUAUCGGCGUGAUUUGUGGUUACCCAAAAUGAUUACAACAGUAACAUUAAAUAACACUGAUCACAUAUCAUUAAAAUUGAUAUAAUAGUAAUAAUAAAUUUUGAAAUGUUGCAAGAAUUACACAGAGACAUGAAGUGAGCACAUGUCAUUGAAAAAAAAUGACACCAAUAGACUUGCUGGAGGCGGGGUUGCCACAAACCUUUAGUUUGUAAAAACACAGUAUUGGAUAAGUGCAAUAUCUGGGAGGCACAGUAAAAAUAGGUUUGCCCAUACCUCCAAUGCCCCAGUGUUUUCAACACUGAAGUCUUUAUUAAAGGAAUUUAUAGUCUGCUUAAAACUUGAUCAUUUCUUCACUUUAGUUUAUUACGGCAAGGGAAGAAGAAUUAAAAGUUGUUCUGGCAGUAAUUGUUGAAAAGUCACAAUUUUAAACAUUUCUACUAUUGAGAGGUCCCAUUGUGAUUAAUGUUGUUAAAAAACUAUCAAUUUUUUUAAAUUAAUUUAUUUUUCCCCAAUGAAAGAAUUUUCAUUUAUUUUAUAGUAUUUUAAUGUUAUUUAACAUAAAUUUAUAAUUUUUGAGUGUGAAUGUAUGUAUACUUACAUGUUACAUAGACAAUUUACAAUUUAUUUUUCUAUGCAGUAUUUGUUCAUAGCUCUAGCAUAUUUCUGUUUUUUUUAAUUCUAGCUUUGAGAAGCUCAUAUAUAUUUAGGAUAUGCUUUGCAAAUAUUUCUCAGUGUGUGGUCUGCCUUUUUACCCAGCUAUGUUGAUUUUUUUUAAUUAAAAAAAAUUGUAUAUGAUCAAAUAUGUGACUAUGUUCUUUUUAAGUACUUGGAAGUUUGUGUAAUAGCACGUAUUUUCACUUAACUGUGAGUGAAUCAUACAUGUUUUCUUCUGUCACUCGUCUAAUUGUUUUUUAAUAUUAAAAUCUCUGUCUACUUGAAGUACACAUCCUCAUGUAUGAUAUAAGGAAGAGAUCCAAUUUUAACUUUCUCCACAUGACUCUAGUUAUUCCAGAACCACUUAUGUAAAACACCAUCCUUUCCAUGCUAAUUUGAGAUUUUCGCUUUAUCAUAUAUGAAAUUUCCAUAGUCAAUUUUUUUUUUUUGGCAUUUCAAGAAAGAUUUCUUAGGUAGAUAAUGUUGUGCAAAUGACUAUAAAAAUGGCAAUAAGAUUGCCUAUUCGGGUACAAAUAGACUUGUUUUUUUUCUAGAAAGGCUAGAAAGGCAAUGCUUAGUAUAGCAAACCAAAAGCAAAUGAGGAAAAACUUCUAUUUGUUUUUCCCCUGAUGUCCGCAGUAUAUCUUCCAACAUUCAAAAUAGCACUGGCUUAUUUGGUAUUUUAAAAAAUCCUGCUUGGCAGUUCCAUAAUGAGAAGAAUUUGUCUUUGAUUCCCAAAAUUGAAUCCUAAUCUUUUAUCUACUACCGUUAUAGGUAAUCAGGUGAUGUUCUAGGCCAUGACACAAUCUAUAAACUAAUAAUUUUAUGUUACAUCCUCAAACUACCAGGUUUUUAUUCCUAACAAAUGGGCUGGAUCACUUGUGAUAAGAAACACUUCCUGGUAGCCUAGAGGCAAACCAGAGUCCCAGCAGCCCCGGUAACCUCCUUCAGUUUGUCACCUCGUCUACAUGCUAACCUCAACUAUUACAACAUUAUUGGCUCCAAGUUAGGCACAUUGAGGGAUAAUAAACAUUUCCUUUGUGCUAGAGAUAAUAGCUCCUCUAUGCAUUCAGUUUUCCUCCCUGACCCCGAUACUUUUUAGAGGGUGAGUGGGAAGUGAACAACUUCACAGGUGGUUGAGAGCCUGGGCUACUUUUUUCCUACCAGCUAAACAGCAAAAUGUCAGUAGCCAAGUGCCAAAGAUAACACAUUAGUGUUCAUUUUAAUAAUACUUAUCACAUUUUUUUUUACGUAUCUAGCAUGAGCUUCUCCUUUUUAAAAAUAGAGACAUAGACCCGCUUAAAGAAGCAGUCUGGCUGUCCCUUGGCAGAGCAGGUGCUUUGCACUGACUGGCCACUCCAGAGCCAGCAGCCUGGAAAGACUAAUUUGGCUGAAUGGCAGAGACAGCGGCUGCUGCCCCACCCUGCAAGGACUCCAUCCCAGGGAGAGAUCAGAGAUCUGUUGCUAUAACCCUGGUUGGAGCUGCUGAAAUUCCCACAGCGAGGCCCCAAACAGUGAGGAGAUAUGGCUUGUUGUGGGCGGGGAAGGUGGUUAGGGUGGGAGGCGGCAGGGGUAGUGGGGAAGGAGAGCAUCAGGAAUAAUAGCUGAUGGAUGCUGGGUUUAAUACCUGGGUGAUGGGCUGAUCUGUGCAGCAAACCACCAUGGCACGUGUUUACCUAUGUAACAAACCUGCACAUCUUGCACACGUGCCCCAGAACUUAAAAUAAAAGUUGAAGAAAAAAAUAAAAAUAAAAAUAGAGACAUAAUAGGUCCACUUUAUAAGAUUAGGAAUAAAAUGAACAGCAGGGAAUAAUAUGUAUGCAUUUAUUGACUCGUUUCCUCUAGAGUCCUUUAAACGGAUGCUUUUUAAGAUGUUUCUUUUUCUUACUCUUGAAUUGAGCCAAUGUCUCCAUAAUACUGACAGAACUAGGCCUCCACUGACAGAAAGCAUAGACAGCUCAAGGAUGGCAGGGAAUCAGAGACUGACGAGGGUGUCGUGAAUGAUUCCAGGGGUUCCUAGCAACACAAAAUAAGGAUAAGCUGUCGAUGAACAUGGCCUAUGUAUUCAAAGGUAGUGUGAGAACAGACUAUGCACCUAUCCAGCUAGCAGGAUGUUUGAUGUCACAGAGAUCUCACAGGAAGCUGUGCAGAUAGCAGGGAGGCUCUCUACUAUGGAGGUGUUUUGUAUCUGGCAAUAGGUAAAAUGGAGGGAAGGAUCUGGUCAACAAUAUAUAAAUACUUAAAAUUAAAAACCAUUCUCUACUAGGUCAGUAAAGUCAUAAACAAUCUUUCUUUAAAAAAUGCUACAUUUAAAUGAAAUGCCAUAUAAGCAUGGCAUUAUGCAUGAAAGUAGUUAGAAGAUGCUUUUCUCAGUAAUAUAGCUAAUACUCCGGGAAGCUUCAAAAUUAUUUUUAAAAUUUUAUGCAGAAUAUAAGACUAUGUGUACUAGAAGUAUUUUAAAAUAAUUAAUUGCUCGUUCUUUAUGUAGUCCAAAGCUAAACUAUUAUGUCUUCCAAGUCAAUAUAGUAUUUGAAAUUAAAGUAUUAAAAAUUAACUUUCCAUAAUUACUCUUCAUUGAAAUGAAUUACUUAAAACUAAUAUGUAAUGACUCUGAUACUCAUUUUCCUUUUUGAUCUUUGGUAAGUCCUUUAAUCUCUUUACAUAGUCUGAGAAUUCUACAUAGAAAAUAUUCUUCCUCAAGAACAGAAUGGUCUCCUUUGAUACAGAAGAAAUGUAGAAAAGGAAGGAUUAUAACUCAGUAGAGUGUUAGGAAUGGAGUAUCAGUUUUUAAUUUAUCUGUUUAACAGGCUUUUUCUUCUAACUCGAAGGAUUCCAUAAUUUCCUCCAUGCUUCAGUUUCUUCCUAAGAAAUAUAUUAACAGAUAUUGUUUUAAAAAAAUAAAGAAAAGAUCAGUAUUGCUUCUCCUCAACUUUUAUCAUCCUAUGCCAGGAAGUCCGAAUGAUUUUCUUGGUGUUGAGAAUGAUUAACCAGAGAUUAGAGGGAAAAAAUGCAAUAAAAAUCUUUAUCACCCUAUUCCAAAUAAUGGUCUGGGAUAGGCCAUACUUUUGUGAAUAUAUUUUAAAAUAAGUCUUCCUUCCUGGACACAAUCAACACAUGCAGUUGAUGCUGUCACUAGUUAAUUUCAUCAACUGUUCAUAACUGUCUUUAGAUCAUCACAUAAUUUAGGAUUAUUAUUAUUCUUUUUUAUGAGACGGAGUCUCACUCUGUCACCCAGGCUGGAGUGCAGUGGCGCGAUCUCGGCUCACUGCAUGUUCCGCCUGCCGGGUUCAAGCCAUUCUCCUGCCUUAGCCUCCCAAGUAGCUGGGACUACCGGUGCCAGCCACCACACCCGGCUAAUUUUUUUUUGUAUUUUUAGUAGAGACAGAGUUUCACUGUAUUAGCCAGGAUGGUCUCGAUCUCCUGCCCUCGUGAUCCACCCCCUCUCGGCCUGGGAUUACAGGCGUGAGCCAUCGCGCCCAGCCAGGGUUAUUUUUAAUAAGAACAGAUCUAUUAUAAAUGGAACUGCUGUUUAUAAGUUUCCUAGCAUUGAAGACACAUAUCAAUGGCUUUAAGUCUGUAGCUGAAUAUAUUUGCAUUUUCUUUAAAAAAAAAAAAAGGCACGCACAGGACGAAGAAGGCAUGGUGAAUAACCAUUUUUAAUUUGGAAACUCUAUUGCUAUAUUCUCCACCAUUGAGUUUGGAGACGUUGACAGUCAUCAAUUGGUAGUUCAUACCUGUUAAGCAUUUUACAUACAUCUGAACUGUUACUAAAGGGAGACAUUCAGUAGAUUGCCUCUAUAAUCAUUCAAAAUAGAUCCUAUUUAUUUACACUUAAAAAUAAAAGUACUAUGUUCAGCAUAGAGGCAACAUCUCUAGGCAAAUUUUCCAAGAAGCUUAAAUAUUGUUUUCAAUCAUUUUGUUACUAUGACAUUAAGGUCUAAGCAUGCCAUAUGAUUUUCUUCUUUUUAUAAGUGAUAAUGUUCUAAAGAAGCACAAUGUAUUCGUGCCAACACCAUGAAUAACUCUACAGACACUUGCAAUACAUUUAAUUUUGCUUAACGAACUACCAGGCACAUUCAUCUCCUUAGUGACUUAAAGCAAAUUAGUAAUCUUGAAAGUAAUGUACCAGAUAUAAAUUGAGACAGUCCACUUACUUUAAAACAGCAACAAAAAUAAUUUUCAAGUGUAUUAUUAAUCUAAAAAUAUGUUUGCCUUAUUGAAAAAUUAAAAGAUCAAGUAGAUACAUGUGCGGUUAAUUAUGGUUGACUUUAAGUCCCAGACAAAGGAAAGCUCCACCAUACGAAUAUAUGUUUAAGAAUUGUAACUCUUCAUAUGAUAGCCAGAAUAUACUUUUAUAAUGGGGGUGGUAGGAUGUUUUCAUAGCUAAUACAUCUUUAGCUAUGUGUAAUAAGUGAUUUUUGUUUCAUUUUUACUGAACUGGAUGCUUUACAAAAAUAGAAUUACAAAAUCUAAUUAUAACAGACUAAAUAAUAGAUCAUCUUGAGAAUUCAAAUAUGCUUUUUGCCCCUACACAGAGAAUAUAAUGAACUUUCUAAUAUAUCAGAAAAAGAAAGUUAACAAUUAUAUAUUGGUCUUUAUGUCUCAAAUAAGGUUGCUCUGAAACUGAAACCCACAGGUUUGUUCUUCAGGUGACAGAUUCAUCCUUAAAGUAGAAAAUGGAAGUUCACUAGAUGAAGAUAAGUGAGUGGAAAUUUGUCUUUAGUAAACAGCAUCCAUUUCUUCUUAUGACUACCAAACUCUGUUUUUACUUAUUCUAGAUUUGGGUAUCAUAAAUUGUACUCCCUCCUCAUUCUAGCGAUCAGAUGAUAUUUUUAACAUAUUGUAAAUAGAAAAUUUGCCAUCCCGACAUAGCCAGUCUUGAAUUUAUUGCACUAGUCAAUUUCCCUUUCUUUAGAAAUUGAUAAUUCUUGGCUGAACAAAUACAACUGAGUUUCUGAAAUCCUAAAACAAACAACUGGAUAUCAAGACAUCAAUGUGAGUGUGACAUGACAAAAAGUACAGUUACAUCAUGUCAGUAAAUAUAAUAAUAAAACAAAUUAAUGAGAUAAAACAGUAGUUACUGUUAUCUUUAUGAGAAGAGGGAAGCAUUCAAUAUAACUUUUCUUAAAAGUAGGAUAUUAGAUAAAGAAAAAAUUAAACUUGAUUUUACAUGAAACACAUCAUACUAAAAUAUUAAUUUACCUUUUAUUCUUCAGGAAAAAUAUAUUUUUCAAAAUCUAAUACAAUGUUAUGCUUUGUAAAAAGUAGUGCUAUUGUGGAUAUCUGUUAUUAUGCAUAAUAGAAUUGCAGCCCAAUUUUAUUAUCAUGUUUAAAGGUGAUAUUUAAAAAGUCAUAAUUAAGGUUUAAAAGAAGAUAAAAACAGAACUGUGUUUUUGACUCUUUAAAAUGCUAAUUUCGUUCUAUUAAUUUAAAGUGGAUCACAAAAAUUAUUCAUGGAUGAAUGUAUAAAGGAAAAACCUUAACCAUUCAGUUCUUGGUUCACUCUUGAUAUAAACUUCCUGGCAGCUAAAUUGUUAUUCAUAACUUGAUAGUAGCCAAACAAUACAUUGGCACCUCAAAUUCUUUUUAGGAUGAGGCAGGCAUAAUGAACAAGGGGAAAAAAGUGGGAACAAUUUAAGGUUUCUACAAAACAUGAUUUUGACUUAUCUACAAGACUCACAUAGACAAUUUACAUGUACUUUAAAUAUUUCAGAUGAAUAGGGUAAUAAAACUCAGAAUAAGUACUGUCCAAAUUUUCAGUUUCAUCUCUAAUUAUGUCAGCAAAUUGUACAGAGGAAACUCCUUGCUUAAGAAUAUCCUGUCUAGGUAGGUUUUCAUUUCUGUAAGUAAAGGGAAUUCACUCCUCCUGAAUUGCUUAAAGGUUUCCAGCUGUGGUGUGUGAAAUAUAGUAUAGUUUAUGUGUUUUGUGAUUCUCACAGUGAGAAUCUAGACAACUUUCCUUGCUUUUCAACCUUUAGGACUCUGCAAUAAUUCUAAAGUUACACCUACAAGGUGGUAAACUGAAACAACUGUCCAGAUGCUAGAUUAAAUAUCAGUGUUGGCUAAGAUUUGUGGAAAGCUUACUUUUUACAUAAGAUUUAGCAGUGAAACUUUCUAAGCAGAAGCAGAUCUCUAAUCCUGCUUUUACCUGCGUGCACAUAUUGCCUCUUUCUUGGCUACCUGACAAAAAGAAGACUGUCAGCUUUUCAGCUCUCUGAGUAUGGGUUUCUUUGUGUCCAAUCUAGUUUUCCAGGAGAGUAAAGAAGACCCAGGUGGUCAGGUUGUUGAGGAUAUGAUAAAAAAUAACUUUAUUUCUCUCGAGUAUAUUUGCCCAUGUGAGUGAAUUCUUAACCACAUUUUAUGAAUUCCUGUCUCUUUACAUUUGUGGUAUCUUUUGUCCAAAAGGAGGUUUCUAUUUUUACAGUGUGCUUACUACACUUCUUUUUAUCAUUUUGGCUUCUGACUCUGUCCAGUGUUGUUAGAUAAAAAACAAAUAGUAACAUGUUCCACAUUUUCUGUGUUGUUUUCCACAAAUGGCCAAGUUCAUGUAUUGCAGAAGGUGUGACCACAGAAAGCCAGGAUCCUCAAAAUCCUACUUUAUGUGCCUAGCACGAUAACUUCACAGAUGCUCCUUUUGAAAUGAUAAAAACAAGCAAACAGACAAAAAGUAUACCAACAUAAUAUCCUGGAAUUUGAUUAACCACAAUCUUUAUAAUCACAUGAUUAACCUAAUAAAAAUUUUCAGAAAUCUAUCGGGGUAAAAUGGGCUCUGGCAUCAUGAAGAAAAUAGAUAAGGCACUAAACGUUUCAGGAAUUUCAUAAUCUUCUCCUCACAUGUCAGGCCUUAAUAUUAAUAAACAGAAUUUUCUUUCUUCCUCAAAAAAAUCGUUAGGCAGCAAAAUAAUUUGCUUUCCUAAUUAAAUAAAACGGAUCUCUGUAGGUUUCAUUUUAGUGUAAUUGGCACCAUUCUACCUCAGUUUUAAUAUGUUUGUACAGAUUAACAUUGAACCUGAUAAAUUUUUAAAAUAGGAAAUUGAUGUAUUGGGCAUAUGACAAGACCUGGACUUUGUCAAAUGCUACCAGGGAAAACAAUGCUUCUAUUUUUCUCAAUAUGACAUCCAGCAAGCUUAUCUGAAUUUCAUAUUCAGCCUAUUGAUCAUGUCUCUGGCAAUUCCAAUAGCUCUUCCACUUACUGCUUGUUUUUAGAAAAGUCUUUUUCCUUCAUAUAAAAAAAGUUAAAUAAAUUAUUCAUAUUUUCAAAGAUUAUUUCACAACUGGAUGUAGUUAGGAAUAGAGGUUAAGAGGACAUACUCUGGAAACUAAUUACCUGAAAUUGAAUACCAGCUGCGAUGUAAACUUGGGCAAGUUAUUCAAACUCUAUAUGCUUUAGUUUUCUCAACUCUAAAAUGGUGGGUAGUAAUAAUAAUUACCACCCUAUAGGUUUAUUGCAAAGAUUAAAUAAAUUAAUUCAUGGAGGAUUGCUGGCAAAUAGUAAGCACUGUUUGCUGCUUACAAUAAAUGCAAGCAAUUAGUAUAAUUCCCUGGUUAAUUCAGAGUCCAGUAACAAGGAAGAGAGAUAUUGUCUUCAAUAUUCCGUCUGGAUCUUCUACUUACCAUUCUAAUUAUUCUUCAAAUUGCUAGCUGUACAUGGUUUCUCCAGGAGUGUAAGGAAAAUAAGCAGGUCUUACUUAAGUGUUGAUGGAUUCUAGUAUUAAUUCCUGGCUUUUUUUUUCUUGUGGCACUUUCGAGUGUUUUGAUUGGGAUAUUUAAUACUAAUAUCUAGCUGAACUUUCUAGAGCUGACCUUCCAAGAAUGCUUUUGAGUUCUCUGAUUCAGUGAUAUACCCUACACCACUUCAUUUGUUUGUGUCAGAUAAUUUUAGCAGGAAGUUCUUUUAGGAUAUCCCUAUGUAUAUCUUCCUAUAGUGUCCACUUUGAUAAUGGAAAAACUUGGAAUUUUUAGAGGCAGCUAAUUCUGGAAGUGCAGGCUCAGCCCUUUUCAGCACUUUUUCUUUGCUCUGUGGUCAAAGGAGCUUUAACUGGGCUCUUGUCUUUAGAAUUGUCCAGGUGCAUUGCAAAAUAUGUAUAUCUCUAUGUCUUCCAAACUCUAGGAACACCCAUCAAUUUCCUUACCAUCAAAGUAACCGCACAGUAUGAGCAGGCAUUUGUUCUGUAGAGCAGUGUGUAUCUACCCAUUGCUGGAGAUACUGGUUCCCCCUCCUGGAAGACCCUGAGAUUCUUCUGAUGAAAUCCAGGUGGGAAUAGAGAUGGACAGAAACAUGGGAUGGGAAACAUAUCAACCUUUUUCUAUUCCUGACCAAAUGUUGAUCAUGUCUGUAAUAAGCUGGAGAGAGGUGAUGCAUAAAAUUAUGGGAGAAGUUUUGCUCCACCUUGUGAGCCAUAGAAAUAUGUUUAACAAAGCAUCAUCUCAAUGUGUAACAUAGAAAACAAGUGUUACAACUUCUGGAAGUUAGCUGGAGGCCAGGAGCAGUGUCUCAUGCCUGUAAUGCCAGCACUUUGAAAGGCUGAAGUGGGCAGAUUGCUUCAACCAGGAGUUGGAGACCACCCUGGGCAACAUGGUGAAAUCCUGUCUGUACAAAAAAAAAAUAAAAAAUUAGCUGGGCGUGGUGGUAUGACACCUGUAGUCCCAGCUACUUGGGAGGCUGAGGCAGGAAGAUUGCUUGAUCACGGGAGGUCAAGGCUGCAGCGAGCUGUGACAGCGCCACUGCAUGGGCACAAAGUGAAACCCUUUCUAAAACAAACAAAAACUUAAAACAAAAAAAUACACACCUUAGUUGAAAUCUUUGAUUCUUCUUUCCAGUAAUGAGAAAAUGUAAGGAAAUGUAAAAGUGAAAACAUUAAGAUACUCCAAAAAUGUUCUUCAGCAUGGCAUCACCUCAGAUGAAGGAUAUAUUUUUAUAUAAUCACAUUACCAAUAUAAAACCUUAUAAAAAAUAUAAUUCCCUCUCGCCUAUCUAUGCUCAUCAAUGAAAAACAUCAGGAACACACCCAUGGUCAAGAGAGUUUGGCUGGUUACUUGUUACAGAAAAAAAAAAUCACCAACUUAUGAAUGGUACUUCUUCAAAGUAAGGGUGUGAUGGGGGAUGAAUGUGAUUGUGUCAUCCGUAAUCCAACAACCUACAAUACUAAUUAUGUGGUCAAUCCAGGAUCCAUAUAUGUGAAGUUGUGGGUUUGUGUGAGUGUGUGUACCAUUAUCUGUGCCCUCUAAUAUGUUGCAUUGACCCAAUACUAACAUGCACUAUCUGAAUUACCACAGACUUACUAACAUCUUGACAUCGACAAGUACAAUUUCUUUAGUCUUAUUCUGGAGGAGGAUGUUGACUAUUUUGACCCUUUUGGUUUUUAUAUAAUUUUUUCAAAACUAAUAAAUUUAUUAAAAAUAAACAGCCUUCAUGACAAAUAUUGGAAUUGCAUUAAUUGCAGAAAACAAUUUGAGGAGAAAUAGCAAUAUAAUGACUGAGUCUUAUUGGUCAUAAAUUUCCUUUAUGCGUCCAUUUAUUUAAGUCUCAUGUAACAUCUUACAGUUUUAGUUUUUAAACAUGUUAUUGCAGGUCUGAACAUACUGUGUUAAAUUUACUUCUAAAUGUCUUUUUGUUGUUGUUACUACCAAUUGGAACUUAUUAAAAUUAGUUUUUUGUUUUUUGUUUGUUUGUUUGUUUUCUGAGUCGGAGUCUCGCUCUGUCGCCCAGGCUGGAGUGCAGUGGCUCAGUCUCUGCUCACUGCAACCUCCGCCUCCUGGGUUCAAGCAAUUCUCCUAUUUCAGCCUCCCGAGUAGCUGGGAUUAUAGGCACCUGCCACCACGCCUGGCUAAUUUUUGUAUUUUUAGUAGAGACAGUGUUUCACCAUAUUGGCCAGGCUGUUCUCUUGGCCAGGCUGGUCUCGAACUGCUGACCUCGUGAUCACCCCACUUCAGUCUCCCAAAGUUCUGGGAUUACAGGGAUGAGCCACCACGCCUGCCGUUGUAGUGCUUUGAGAUAGAACUGCUGCUUUUUCUUUUCUUUCCUUUUCUUUUUUGAGACGGGGCUCACUCUGUUACCCAGGCUGGAGUGCAGUGGCACCAUCUCGGCUCACCGCAACCUCUGCCUCCUGGCUUCAAGCGAUUCUCCUGCCUCACCCUCCUGAGUAGCUGUGACUACAGGAGCUCGCCACCAUGCCUGGCUAAUUUUUGUGUUGUUGUUGUUGUUGUUGUUGUUGUUGUUGUUGUUGUUGUUGUUUUAGUAGAGAUAGGGUUUCACUAUGUUGGCCAGGCUGGUUUUGAAAGAUCUAGAACCAGAAAUACCAUUUGACCCAGUAAUCCCAUUACUGGGUAUAUAGUCAAAGGAAUAUAAAUCAUUGAAUAUUUUUGUCUAGGUAUUUCCUUAUCUAAGUUUUCUAGUACUUAAACUCUGUUUAUCACUAUAUGUUACUAUUUCACCCUUAAAAUAAAAUAUUCUUUAGGGCCUUAAAGUAGAAACAAAUGGCACACUCAAAUGGAAUAAUAUAGAACAGACUAUAUAACAAAGUGUGAGCCUGAAUAAUAUCGACCAGGGAUAAUAAAGCAUCCCAGGGCUAGCAACAGCCUCGAGAAAUUCCCAUUUUGAGGCCUGAAAGAUACAAUGAGGCAGUGAUAUUGGAACUAGUAAGAUCUGCAGUUUUAGAAAAGGCCCACUGUAAAUGCUAGAAGAUAGCAUCUGGCCUUUUGGCUAAGAUCAAGUGUAAAUGACUAGAAGACUUUGAAAGAGAAAUCUUCACCAACCUAUGGUCCUGUAGGUAAGAAAUCUAAGGAAUAACUAUCUUGACUCUUGUCUUUCAUCCUCUUCCCUCCAGCUGAUGAUUACUCAUUGGCUGAAACAAAGGACAGUUCAGAGUGCAAGACACCUGUUUGAUGCUACCUGUAAACUUCCAGGAUCCAAGCACAUAUGAAGAAAUGUGGACUAAUACCAGAGUCAAGUAGAGAACAUCCAACAACAUCUUAGAUUAUGCAUGAUUAAUGCUUAUAUUCUCUCAGCAGUUUGACGAUAACCACAGUUUCACUGUUUUGGUUAUCCAGUCUUUCUACAAUUUUAAUUUUCACUCCUUUCACGUGGUCUCUCUUUUCUCUAGUAUUUUUAAAAUUUGUUUUUGUCUUUGGCAGUAUACAGUUUUAGUAUUGAGUUUCAUGUUAUUUAUUUUGCUUUGGACAUAGAUCUAUCUAAAGAGAUACAAACUUUAUCUCUUCAAAUAUUAUCUCACUUCCAUUUUUUCUGCUCUUUACACUUGAGAUGCUAAGUGAUAUAUACAUAUAUAUUAAAUCUUCUUAUUUCAUCCUCCAUAUAGCUUAUCUGUUCAUAUUUUGUGUCUCUAUGUCUUUUGGUGUUUAAUUCUUUUAGAUACAUUUUCUUUCCAGUUAAUUUCAGUACAUUAAGUUACAGACUUUAUUUAUGGAAAAUCCAUUUUAAGAGGGCUGUCCUUUGAUUCCUAAUAGUCUUUUGCAGAAUGAUUUUUGUAUUGCCUCUUUUGUUUAUAAAAUUUUCAUGCAUAUAUUUCUAUAGUUUUUAUUAUUCUAAUAUAUUCAGCCCUUCAUGAUUUAUAUAUAUUAUUUAUGCUUCUAGCUGAAUUUCCACUUAUAGUUGCUUGUAUUCUUUUAUACCAUGUGAUCAUGGUAAAUCCACAUUUUGACUUGAUAUUUAUAAGUCCUACAGGACUAUACUGGUGAAACAUUUCUUUAAUAAAAAAGUUGCUUUUGUCUCUAAAUGUAGUCAGUGGAACCACUGGCCAAAUGAGAAUAACCCUCUCAAUAUCUCAUCUCGAGAUAAAAGUCGGCUUCAUUCAUAGCUGAAGAAAGGCUUGGUUCCCAGUUGCGGAGUGACAAUAGGCAUGCAGUAACUGGGCAGAGCUUAUUGACAUGUAGGUCAUCUUCAAGUGUUCCAGGUCCAAUUCACAUUAAUUUUGGAUGGAGAUGUAGACCGUGGAGACUUUUAUUACCUCUUUUAUUAUCUUUUUUUGAAAGUAAUUCAUCUCAAACACUGCCUUCCAUGGUCUAAUUUUUCUGCAAGGGGUAGAUAACCCAGUCUACAUAUUUAGCCAUAGUAACAGAAGUAGCAGUGCUUCUAAACCAACUUUAGUGUAGAUGACACUUUUAUAAUGAACGUAAAACAAUUUUGAAUUUUUUUUUUUUUUUUUUUGACACAGUGUGGCUUUGUUGCCCAGGCUGGAAUGCAGUAGUGCAGUCUUGGCUCACUGCAGCCUUGACCUCCUGAGCUCAAGUGAGCCUCGCACCUAAGCCUCCCAAGUAGCUGGGACUACAGGCACACAGCAUCAAACCUGUUUGUUUGUUUUUUAAUUUUUGUAGAAACGGAGAUUACACCAUGUUACCCAGGCUGAUCUUGAACUCCUGGACUCAAGCCAUUCUCCUUACUUAGCCCCCCAAAGGUCUUGGAUUACAGGCAUGAACCACUGUGUCUGGCCUGACCUUGCUUGUCUUUAACAAUGUUACUUAGUGUUUCUUACAGCUGUGGUAACUAAUUUAUUGAUUCCUUUGCAUCUCAUUAUCUAUAUUCCCACACAAUGAUUCAAGACUGAAAUUCUUCCAGGCUUUUUCCUAGAACAACUUCUAGUUGUUCUAGGAAAUAAAUUCUAUGUUAUUUCCUAAAUGGCCUUACUCAGGUUCUAAGCUAAUUUAUACUAUAGAUAAAUGAAAAAAUAAAUAUCUCUGCCUAGAUAUUUCUAUCAAUUGUCAGGUGACUAUAAUACAUGUUUUAAAAUAUUUCCAAAGUCAAAAAGCCUGAAAAUAAUCUUUACUCUUGAAUGAUAACUUCACUGUAUAUAGUAUUCCAGAUUAUAUUUAUUUGUUUUUAACACAUUAAAUAUUUUGCUUCACGCUCUUCUUAGUUGUGUGGUUUCUAACAAAAAGUUCACUGUAAUUCUUAUCUUUGUUUCUCCAUAGGUUAGAUCCCCAAGGCACAAAUUUCUCGUUUCAUAUUUUUUUCAGUGCUUUGAUUCAUCAUUAUUUAUUAUUUAUUUAUUAUGCUAUCUUAGAGUUUUGAGUUCUGGGUAUUUGGCUCUAUCUACUCUUAAAAGUUUAUUUAAAAGGUUGGAUUAUUUCCUAAAUGUAUAAAUAAAAUAAUUAAAAUGUUUGUAAUGUCUUAAACCUUACAUUCAGUCAACAGAUUCAGUUUUAUUACAUAUAUGUAAAUCAGACAUUUUUAAAAUUUAUAUUUAUAAGGAGGAUUUGCUAAACACAACUUUUAGCAAAAAAUCUAUAUGAAGAGAUCUUACACACCUACAGAGAGACAAAACAAAUUUGACAUCUAGUCAGUUACAUUAUUUAUUUUACAUAUGUAUGUUCUUUUUACUUGCAGAGUUGCGUAUGUUAUACUUGACAGCAUUGCAAAUAUGGGUUAAUGGAGUAGUUAUUAUGUGAACUAAUGGAAUAGUUAUGCGAACUAAAACUAAAGUAAACUGAACAGACUCUAAAACACUUUUGAUUGAAAACAUAACUAUUUUAGGGCAGCAGGGUGCUUAAAUCAUGAGUUUUUCAAAAUUUGCAGCACUUUGGGCAUAAAACAGACAUUAUUAUGUAAAUACCAUCAAGAGGUUAAAUAUAUGUCUUUAAAAUAAAUGACUGUCCUAAUAACACCAGAUAGCCUGACCUAAAAAUAAGUAAUUUGUUUUAAUGCCAAAAAGUCAUGAUGAUUUUUAACAUCUACAAAAACAUCUUUUCAAAUAAUUAUAUUGCUCAUUAUAUACUUUGUGGAGUAAACUAUUGUGUCUACACGGUAUUGGCUAUGGUUUGAACAUGGACUCUCCAAAAUUCAGGUGUUCCCAAUGUGAAGGUAUUAAGAAGUGGGUUCAUUAAGAGGUGAGAAGGCUGUGAGAACUUCUUGAUCAUGAAUGGGAUUAAGGUCUUUAUAAAAGAGGCUUUAUCCAGCAUUUGGCUAGCUUGCUCUUUUACCUUCUGCCCUGUGGAGACAAGGCCAGAAUGCCUUUAGCAGACCAAAUGCUGGUACCUUAGUCUUGGACUUCUCUGCCUCCAGAAUUCUGAGGCAAUACAUUUCUGUUCUUUAUAAAUUAACCAGUCUUUGAUAUUUGGUUACAGUAACACAAAACAGAGUAAGACAGUGUGUUGCAUAUACUCCCAAUGUGUUCCAGCUUUUUUAUUUCAUUUACAUAAUAAUUAAAUAUAAAUUUUCAAGAUAAAUAUAAAGUCUGUGUGUAUUUCUAAUUUUGUUCCAACUCCACAGAAAUUGUGAGAAUAUUUAGACAAACAAGUAAUCUGUUUUUUUCUAUAACUCAAAUAAGUUAAUUCUUAUGUUAAAUUACUUAUUAUAUAAUUAACUAUGAAAUAAUUUUUUGCAUUAUUUGUUAUGAAGUAAAGAACAUUUCCAUAAAUGUUUGAGCUCUUGCAAGUAAAAUAAUAGGGCAAAUUGUUUUAAGAAUCAUUCAAAAAUUAAUAUUUCUAUUUAGACAGAAGAAACACCUGUGAGUUUAUUCGUUUAUCAACAUUUCAGUUUAAUUAACAAAGGGUUUAUUGAGCAUAAUUAUAGACCAGACACUGCACUGCAAGCAGAGAAAAAAAAAAACGAAUAAAAAGAAGUGCUAAUUCUAGCUGUUCAUUGUUCAUUAGGCACAGGCAGGUAUUUACAAAAAAGAGGUAAUAUACCAUCAUUGAUGCCUUGAGAAAAAUACAGGCCGGGCGCGGUGGCUCACGCCUGCAAUCCCAGCACUUUGGGAGGCC